AUUGAACGCUGGCGGCAGGCCUAACACAUGCAAGUCGAACGAGUGGCGGACGGGUGAGUAAUGUCUGGGAAACUGCCUGAUGGCGGGGGAUAACUACUGGAAACGGUAGCUAAUACCGCAUACCAUCAGAUGUGCCCAGAUGGGAUUAGCUUGUUGGUGGGGUAACGGCUCACCAAGGCGACGAUCCCUAGCUGGUAUGAGAGGCGGACCAGCCAAACUGGAACUUAGAAACGGUCCAGCAUCCUACGUGAGGCAGCAGGGGGGAAUAGUGCACAAUGGGCGCAAGCCUGAUGCAGCCAUGCCGCGUGUAUGAAGAAGGCCUUCGGGUUGUAAAGUACUUGCAGCGGGGAGGCGUUACCCGCAGAAGAAGCACAGGCUAACUCCGUGCCAGCGGCCGCGGUAAUAC
rnacentral:rRNA from 1 species